UUGAACGCUGGCGGCAUGCCUUACACAUGCAAGUCGAACGGCAGCGCGGACUUCGGUCUGGCGGCGAGUGGCGAACGGGUGAGUAAUGUAUCGGAACGUACCAUUCAGUGGGGGAUAACGCAGCGAAAGUUGCGCUAAUACCGCAUAUUCUGUGCGCAGGAAAGCAGGGGAUCGCAAGACCUUGCGCUGAUUGAGCGGCCGAUAUCAGAUUAGCUAGUUGGUGAGGUAAAGGCUCACCAAGGCGACGAUCUGUAGCGGGUCUGAGAGGAUGAUCCGCCACACUGGAACUGAGACACGGUCCAGACUCCUACGGGAGGCAGCAGUGGGGAAUUUUGGACAAUGGGCGCAAGCCUGAUCCAGCCAUGCCGCGUGAGUGAAGAAGGCCUUCGGGUUGUAAAGCUCUUUCGGCCGGGAAGAAAUCGCAUGGGUUAAUACCCUGUGCGGAUGACGGUACCGGCAUAAGAAGCACCGGCUAACUACGUG
rnacentral:rRNA from 1 species